UGUCAUUACUUGCAACUGCACAUGACUUCCUAACAAGGGUUCAAUAUAAAUAUUGCUGUAACUUCCUCACUCUUAGUAGAAGCAGAUACUGUACAUCUAGUGUUAAGGCUCUAGUUAUCCUGCUGCAAUGACGCAAAAAUCAACCCUUCAUUUCACUGGGGUCAAAUUUUUCCUUAUUUUCAUCCUUAUACAAGGAGUCUUGUCAAAGGAGAACAUGAAUCCAUGGGAUUUUGGGGCCACGUCUUUGGGAGAUAUGGCUGCUGUACCGCCAGAGCCGUCAGACGACAUAAUUCUGUCAGGAUCCGGUGUUGAAGCUGAUGUGGAGGAGCCAAUCAUCACAGAAACUUAAAGACUAAUGCAGGCAAUU